rnacentral:rRNA from 1 species
GGAAUUACGUGGGACGUAAAGCGCAUGCAGGUGGUUUGUUAAGUCAGAUGUAGAAACGGCCCGGGGCUACAACCGUACGGUAAUUGCUAUUUAGAAACGUGGACAAACUAGAGUACUGUAGAGGGGGUAGAAUUUCAGGUGUAGCGGUGAAAUGCGUAGAGAUCUGAAGGAAUACCGGUGGCGAAGGCGGCCCCCUGGACAGAUACUGACACUCAGAUGCGAAAGCGUGGGGAGCAAACAGGAUUAGAUACCCUGGUAG